UGUGUAGGCGGUUGUUUAAGUUUGGUGUGAAAUCUCCCGGCUCAACUGGGAGGGUGCGCCGAAUACUGAAUGACUCGAGUGCGGGAGAGGAGAGUGGAAUUCCUGGUGUAGCGGUGAAAUGCGUAGAUAUCAGGAGGAACACCGGUGGUGUAGACGGCUCUCUGGACCGUAACUGACGCUGAGACACGAAAGCGUGGGUAGCAAACAGGAUUAGAUACCCUGGUAGUCCACGCCCUAAACGAUGCAUAUUUGAUGUGGGCCGUUCAGUCGGUCCGUGCCGGAGCUAACGCGUUAAAUAUGCCGCCUGGGGAGUACAGUCGCAAGGCUGAA
rnacentral:rRNA from 1 species